rnacentral:rRNA from 1 species
UACGAAGGGGGCUAGCGUUGCUCGGAAUUACUGGGCGUAAAGCGCACGCAGGCGGUCUGUUAAGUCAGAUGUGAAAUCCCCGGGCUCAACCCGGGAACUGCAUUUGAAACUGGCAGGCUUGAGUCUCGUAGAGGGGGGUAGAAUUCCAGGUGUAGCGGUGAAAUGCGUAGAGAUCUGGAGGAAUACCGGUGGCGAAGGCGGCCCCCUGGACGAAGACUGACGCUCAGGUGCGAAAGCGUGGGGAGCAAACAGG